AAUAUAUUACAAAGACAAUCAUGGCCGCUGCCAUCGUCGUCGUCGUCGCCGCCGCCGCCACCACUCUGACUGCUUAUUAGCCACUGCCGCUGUCAUCCACAGGUAUGUGUCUACAUAUAUAAUUUUCUUUUUUAAAAAAAAGCUUAAUUGAUCUAUGUAUUUACCUUAGUAAAGCCAGUUUAUUAUUUUUUAAUUUUACUGAUUAGUUUUAGUACCGGCUUCGACAAGGUAGGAAAAAAAAUUUUGAUCACGCAACAGCAGAUACUCCUCAGCCAAAUGGUAAUUUUUUAUUCAUUGUUUUCUUUUUGAAGUGCUAUAUUUUUAUUUAUACUUUUGUCAAU
rnacentral:lncRNA from 1 species